UAUCUGAUUGGAAGUUUAUUUUUGAAAACUAAACUCAAAUCAGUUUCUCAAAUUUAUAAAGAAAAUGAGAAAACAAUAAAUACACGUUUUCAGAGUUUUGCAAUAUUUCAAUCUAAAAACCCUAAAAUCAUUUUGUAAACUUUCUCCUUCUCAUUUUCUCUCUGCGCCGCCUCUCUGUCAAAAGCAGAGUUCUUCUUCUUCUUCCACAAAACCACACCAUUCAAACUUUUCUUCUUCUCUGUUAUUAAUCAGAUCAACUAGCCAGUCCUCUGUUGUCUUCUCUCGUGAUCAGCCAGCCUUUUCCUCUCCAUUACACAAGGGACGCCGUUGCCAACACCAGGCAGGGGAGGGACGCCGUUGCCAGCACCAGGCAGGGGAGAAGCAUUUUCGAUCUAAGAUUGCGGGUUGACGGAGAGACACCAUUGCCGAACUGAGUGCGAUAGUCGGGUUGAGCAAUAGCUGACCACAACACCAUCACACCAUUGUAGUCCAUUUACGCUCAACCUGCAUCAUCUAAGAAAUAUCCAAAUGCGAAAAGAUUUCGAAAAAAAGGAUUGCAACAUUAUGAGAUGCUUGGAGAAAUAUUCAAUAAUACAACAGCCACUGGUGGGAUGAGUUAUGCCUCCACUCAACUUCCGCCUUCUUCAGUUGAAGAACGCCAACAAGAGCGUCAUUUUGUUGGAACUGGAGCACAUGUUGAUGUUGGUUUUGAAUUUGAUGGUGAUAAUUAUGGAGAGGAGGAAGAAGUUACUGGUGUACGUCGUCGAGCUACUUCUGCUCCACCAGAUGCACCAAAACCAAAAGAGAAAAAGAACAAAGGGGCCAAUCCAUCCAUCGACCAUGUGAUGGAAGAACUUGCAAAAAGUAUUUCUGCUAAGACUGAGGCAUCACUAGUACGGAGUGAGACUAUGCGUAAGUAUUAUGAAUCGAGGGAAAGGAGAAUUAGCGAGGAAACCAGCAAUGUCACUAACUCUUACAAUGUGGAAGAUUGUCAAAACAUUCUAGAUGGUAUUCCAAAUCUGGAUAACAAAAUAUACCUCAAAGCGUUGCAAGAGUUUGUAGCAACCCCAUAAUGGCGUGGAAUAUUCAUGAGAAUGAAUGAGGAGCGUCGUCGUGCUUAUCUUGAUUCAUUGAUGGGGUGAUUUAAUAUUGUUUAUUAAUUAUGAGUUUGUCUGUCAUGAACUACUAAACCAUGAAGUUUACAUUUUCUUAAAUAAUGUGUAAUGAACUUAACUUGGUAUUUAUUAUCAUGAUUGAACUA